rnacentral:tRNA from 1 species
GCCUCGGUAGCUCAGCCUGGAUAGAGCACUUGCCUUCUAAGCAAGGGGUCGCAGGUUCAAAUCCUGUCCGGGGCA